GAAAAUAACGUAUCAGUUUGUUUAAGUAUUCGAAUCGUAUUGUUUAAGUGAACUCGUCCAUUUGCUGUUCCUCAAUUUUGUUAUCUCAUUUGCUUAUUGUUUGGUACCCUAAUAUCGCUUCUUCAAAAAAAAAAAGAAAAAAGAGUAAAGUUAAUCCGUGAACCCUGCACCCAAUUUUGUUCUAUAGAGUGACAGAGGAGUUUGGUUUAUUAUUGUACUUUUUUAAAGGAAUACAUCUCUUUUCUUGUGAAUGCUUGUAGAGAGGUACAAAAAUUUUGGUCAUUCAGUGGAUUUUUCUUAAAAAUUGUCAAUUUUGCCAAUGUGAACUUUAUCAAAUUUAAACCAAACUGCAAGUUUUUCUGCUGCAAUUUUUCUGAAGGAUUAAGCUCUUUUGCAGGGAAAAUUAUAUCUGUUGCUUCUUGGAACGACAGCUCUCAGUCUGGUAACAACGCCACUGCUCUUCAAGUUGAUUUCUGCCUUUGUUCAUCUUGGGGUCUUAUUGCGGUGGUUUUCUCCAGAUAGCCCGAGUGAGAUUGGAUAUAUAUAAAGGGGAUAAUCUUUGGUCAGACAGUGCUAAGCGUAUUGCUAUCUUGGUCCACGGCUCUCAUGAUUCAUGAUAUUAAACAUAAAAAUAUGAAAUGGUCAAGGAACGGACUGCGAAUGCCAACGAUUUCGUCAACGGUGGAUCUCAUGUGAUGGAAUAUGGGAGUAGAAGUAUAAGAGCAGAGAAGCUCUAUCUCUACCAAAAGGUUUUGAUCCUGCCACUGUUAACAACCCACCCAACAAUAACAAACUACACAUGGCUAUGGAAGUUGUGAACCAAAGAGAUGCAACUAUACUUCUAGAUUUGCUCAUGUGUGCACUUAAAAAUGUGACUCAAUAUUUAUGAAUUGAUGCAUGUACAAAUUUAAUAACUUUAACCAUUUGUUGUUUUUUUUUAAAAAAUAGUUUGUUGUACGUACUUAAAGAUUGUACUAUAAUAUAUAUUUCAUUAUAUAAAGAAAAAAGAAAUUAUUACCAUUAUUAAUUAUAUCAUUAUUAAUUAUAUAAUUAUUUUAUAUAAUUUACUACCAAAAACUGGUAAUAAAUAGUUGGACAUUAUAAUUUAUUAGUUUUGCUACUAAUUUUUGGUAGCAAAAUAAUUAUAUUGAAUAUUAAAAGCUAAUAAUUUUGCUACUAGAAUAAAUAUUAUUUGCUACCAAAAAAUUAGAAGCCAAAAAAAUAGUAUCAACUACCAAACAUUUGGUAGCAAAAUACUUUCAGCGACCGAGAUACAACUACCAAUUUGCUACCAAAAAAUUUGGUAGCAAAAAAAGUAUUAGCUACCAAAUAUAGAUUAUUUGCUACCAACUUUGUAGUA